UGGUGGAGUGAUUUGUCUGGUUAAUUCCGUUAACGAACGAGACCUUAGCCUACUAACUAGUCGAUUCAAUCUUUAUUGUUUCUGACUUCUUAGAGGGACUUUGUGAAUCAAUCACAAGGAAGUUUGAGGCAAUAACA
rnacentral:rRNA from 1 species